rnacentral:rRNA from 1 species
AGCGCAGACGGUUAUUUAAGCAAGAUGUGAAAGCCCCGGGCUCAACCUGGGAACUGCGUUUUGAACUGGGUAACUAGAGUGUGUCAGAGGGGGUAGAAUUCCACGUGUAGCAGUGAAAUGCGUAGAGAUGUGGAGGAAUACCGAUGGCGAAGGCAGCCCCCUGGGAUAACACUGACGUUCAUGCUCGAAAGCGUGGGUAAGCAAACA